rnacentral:tRNA from 1 species
UAUAUUUUAGUAUAUGAGGUACAAGAGUUUUUGAUACUCUUAGAAAUAGUUUAAUUCUAUUAAAUAUAG